GCCCCAGUGGCCAAGUGGAUACGGCGUCUGCCUCCUAAGCAGAAGAUCGCGAGUUCGACCCUCGCCUGGGGUA